rnacentral:tRNA from 1 species
CGAGAGGGCGGGGCGCGGCGGCCUCGGCGGUGACCGCGCGUCAGGCGUCGCCGUACGCCUCCCCGCCCGGUUCGAACCCGGCCGUCCCGGCC